AUUGAACGCUGGCGGCAGGCCUAACACAUGCAAGUCGAGCGGAGCGGCGUACGGGCGAGUAAUGACUAGGAAUCUGCCUGGCAGUGGGGGAUAACGUCCGGAUACGGACGCUAAUCCCGCACACCAUCCGCUUCGCCUAGGUCGGAUUGGCUAGUUGGUGGGGUAACGGCCUACCAAGACGACGAUCCGUCACUGGUCUGAGAGGAUGAUCAGUCACACUGGAACUGAGACACGGUCCAGACUCCUACGGGAGGCAGCAGUGGGGAAUAUUGGACAAUGGGCGAAAGCCUGAUCCGGCCAUGCCGCGUGUGUGAAGAAGGUCUUCGGAUUGUAAAGCACUUUAAGUUGGGAGGCGUUACCAACAGAAUAAGCACCGGCUAACUUCGUGCCAGCAGCCGCGGUAAUAC
rnacentral:rRNA from 1 species